GGAGCCAUCGUUUAUCGGUUAGGAUACUCCCCUGUCACGGGAGUGGGGCGGGUUCGAUUCCCGCUGGUUCCGC
rnacentral:tRNA from 1 species